CNACACGACUCUCGGCAACGGAUAUCUCGGCUCUCGCAUCGAUGAAGAACGUAGCAAAAUGCGAUACCUGGUGUGAAUUGCAGAAUCCCGNGAACCAUCGAGUUUUUGAACGCAAGUUGCGCCCGAGGCCUUCUGGUUGAGGGCACGUCUGCCUGGGCGUCACGC
rnacentral:rRNA from 1 species